rnacentral:sRNA from 1 species
AUGGCCUCUGCUUCAGUGUCUGCCUCCAGGUCCCUAUUUGAUUGCUUGCCCGGACUUCCUUUAAUGAUGAGCGGUGAUGUGUAUGCAUAGCCAGACAAACCCGCUUGGUCAUGGUGUUUUCUCACAGCAAUAGAAACAGUAGCUAGGACCGCAGCUGGCCCCAGGAGGGCGGUAUUGCUGUGACAGACUUGACCGUGUGUUUUUGGGAGGACUGUGGGAAGACUUUGAAACUUUGGGCUAGAAAAGCCAUUGAGUGUUCCAGGCUUGGGUAGCUGUUCUGUGGGAGCUUGGAGGAUAAGAAUGUUGAGAGGACGGAACCUUGGCUUGUGAAAUCUCAGAGGGGAGCAAAGACUCUGCCAGUCGGUUUGUGUGAGGACUCUGAUCUGGUCAGCUAGUGCUGAAGAAACAGCUGUGGCUAACAAGAAACCAGAGCCGCUCAAGUAAAGCCUUCAUCUACUGGGACAAUCGAUGCUGGUCGGCUGGAGCUGAGAAACUAGCAGUGAUUAAGAAAAGACCAGCAUCGCUGAGGUGAAGAACUAUCUCCUCACACUAUAGGCAGCCAAGGCUGUCCCUCCCUCUGGCAGCUGAACUUGACAAUGUAGGAGUCGCCCAGGUGGUGCUAGUUCUGAAGACAUGAAUGGGUCACGGGGAAGAGCUGAGGCCUGGCACCGUGAAAGGCCAGGAGAGGUGCAGCAGGAGUAGUAGCAGUGGAAGGCCCAGGGGGGAAGGGGUCACGCAGAGAGGCUGCGGCUUGGCACCAUGAAGAGAGCACAGCGCAAGGGGAGCUACUGGUGAAAGUGCAGCCCAGGAGGCUCAGCAGCUCAGAGAAGCCAGGACUGUGGAUGACCCCACCCACAGCAGCAGGAAGCCGCGGGAGCUUAGGAGACAAACUGUGUGUGCUGCAGAGGAAGGCGCCCAGAACUGAGCCAAUCCCUCAGAGAGCCCCGGAGAGGAGGAAGCCCAGACACUGGCCACUGGGUUAUUUACAGUUUGCUUCUGCUUUUGUUCAGGUUGUUACUGUACCCUGGCUCUUCCCUCUUGAAGUGACAAGGAGUCAGUUGUCCUGGCCAGUUCUAUGUCUACUUGACACAAGCUAAACUCGGCUGAGAGAAGAGACCCUCAAUUGAAAACAAUGCUGACCUUCGUAAGGUGGGGCUGUAAGCAAGCCUGUGGGUAUUUUCUUAAUUAGGCAUUGGUGUGUUGAGGGUGGGGAGGGGACCCAGUCCGCUUGUGGGUGUUGCCACUCCUGAGCAGGCGGUCCUGGGUGAAGCCGACUGCCUUACAACUGGGAGACUCUCUUGGAGAUCUGCAUCCUCAGGGCCCCACAGGGGAACUGGGCCCUCUCCAUCAAGUCCAACAGGCAGGAAGGGGGUGAGAGUCAGUGUCAAUCAAACCACCCUUAUUUGCAGAAGUUCGGCCCUAACCAAAACAGAAUGGCUCCCAGUGGUACUUGUGUGGCACCUGGCUUUAUUACAGGCUAAAAAAAAAAA